rnacentral:rRNA from 1 species
UUAUGCCUACGGGAGGCAGCAGUGAGGAAUAUUGGUCAAUGGGCGCGAGCCUGAACCAGCCAAGUCGCGUGAGGGAAGACGGUCCUAUGGAUUGUAAACCUCUUUUGUCGGGGAGCAAAAGACGCCACGCGUGGCGUUCCGAGAGUACCCGAAGAAAAAGCAUCGGCUAACUCCGUGCCAGCAGCCGCGGUAAUACGGAGGAUGCGAGCGUUAUCCGGAUUUAUUGGGUUUAAAGGGUGCGCAGGCGGACCAUCAAGUCAGAAGUGAAAGCCCGGGGCUCAACUCCGGGACUGCUUUUGAAACUG